CACGUAGGGGGCAAGCGUUGUCCGGAUUUAUUGGGCGUAAAGAGCGUGUAGGCGGUUUGGUAGGUCCGUUGUGAAAACUCGAGGCUCAACCUCGAGACGCCGAUGGAAACCAUCAGACUAGAGUCCGGAAGAGGAGAGUGGAAUUCCUGGUGUAGCGGUGAAAUGCGCAGAUAUCAGGAAGAACACCCGUGGCUAAGGCGGCUCUCUAGUACGGUACUGACGCUGAGACGCGAAAGCGUGGGGAGCGAACAGG
rnacentral:rRNA from 1 species